rnacentral:rRNA from 1 species
UACGAAGGGGGCUAGCGUUGUUCGGAAUUACUGGGCGUAAAGGGCGCGUAGGCGGCUGGUCAAGUCGGGAGUGAAAGCCCGGGGCUCAACCCCGGAAUGUCUUUCGAAACUGGCCAGCUUGAGUGCGGAAGAGGCAACUGGAAUUCCCAGUGUAGCGGUGAAAUGCGUAGAUAUUGGGAAGAACACCUGAGGCGAAGGCGGGUUGCUGGGCCGACACUGACGCUGAGGCGCGAAAGCCAGGGGAGCAAACGGG